GUGCUGGCUUUGCAGCAUGUAUGCUAAAAUAGGAACUUUGUAAGGCUAGAUGGCCCCAGAGGAAAGGAUAACAUGGAAAUUUGAGAGCACUUUUUUAUUUUU
ensembl:snRNA U6 U6 spliceosomal RNA